AAGAAAAGGAAAUAGGGCGGACGAGCCUUCCUAAGUCUUUCAAUCAUUACUUAUAUGUACCUAUAUAAGCACAGACAUACAUCUAACUACGACUGAGUGUGUAUCAAGUAGAAGUGAUUCUUGUGAAGUAGGAGUGUCUAACAAGUGAAGUAGGAGCGGUCGCAAGUGAAGUAGGAGUGUCGAACAAGUAUAAGCGUAUCACGAAGUAGAGACGACAAUAAGUGAAGUAAGAGCGUCUAUCAGGUAUAAGCGACUACAAGUAUAAGUGAAAUAGAGACAAUAACAGGUAUAAGCGCUUCAAGAAGUGAAAGCGUUACCAAGUAGGAGUAUAAAAUAAGUAUAAGCGAAGCAGCAGUAACUAACAAGUAAAAGUAUACGUUGUGAAAGAGAACUUUGAUUAAAAUCUUGUAAAACCUUUAUAAACCAGUUUAAAGUGAGUUUUAAAUAAAGCAGUAUAAAUAAGAGUCUUGAAACAAACGAAAAACCUUUUUGAAAACCAUUAUAGUGUCCUACUCGGUAAAACAGUAUACAGUGUGGUAAAAUCUUGUGCAUGCGGGUUAUCAAUCACAUGUGAUUGAUAUGAUAACUGGCAUGUUUAACUUGUAUUCCCCCGUAUAAAACAUGUAAAAACAUUUAAAAGGUUCAUUCAGGGGUAUGAACUCACCUGGUGUAAGUAGGUCCGACGAAGGUGUCGUUUGGGCGUUUGGGGUCACGCAAGGACUUGAACACACACAAUGACCUAUUUAACAUAUGAUAACAUAUGUUCACAUACAAUUAGUAUAUUUAAUACUAAUUAAACAAAUAUAUGCGCUCAAAGGAGCGGAGAACACUUUGGAUAAGUGUUUGGGUGUCCCGGGUAGCGUCUAAAGGUGUGUAUGGCUUAGGAAUGGAGUUUACUCUCCGAGAGUAAACCCCUUUAUAUGAUUUUUACGGCCCAGGGACUACUCACCAUGAGUUUACGGCCAUAAACUCAUGGUGAGGGUAUCUAGUGUGUUUCAAAGCUUAAUAUUGUUAGUAGGAUUUUUCUAAGUCCAAUUCCAAAAAGGCAUGAGUGGGUUUAAGGCUCCUAAGGGCUUCUUUAGGGAGUUUACGGCCUAGGGACAACUCCUAAGGGAGUUUAUGGCCGUAAACUCCUAUGCCUUGAGUUUUUUGAAGUUUCAANACGACCGUAAGCUCUAUGGCUUGGCCAUGAACUCUCAUACACCCACAACUCUUGGAGUUUAAGCCCUUAAAUCAUUCCUAGCAUUUUAUAAAAAUAGACUAAGGCCAUUUGGGGGGCAAAAACCACAUUUUUGGCACAUUUAGGGGCGUUUACGGCCUUGUUACAUACCUGGGCCGUAAACUCCUUUUUCCCCUUCAUUUUAUUGUGUUUAAAUGGUCUAAACCCAAAAUAACAAGUCCCUAAAUUAUGUAUGAAGCCUAAGGGUGGUUUGGGAGUGUUUUGGGGCAUUUUAGCAUGGAUUAGAGGUGUUUACGGCCUAAGCAUGUGCUUGGUUCCGUAAAAUCUCUUUUAUGCCCUAGAAUCUUGUGAUUUAAUGUUUAAACACUCCUAGGCAAAUCCCUUAAUUUAUUUCCAAGCCUUUAGGGACAUUUUGGGUCAUUUUGGCCUCAUUUUAGGUGUUUACGGCCUAAGGAUGAUCUUAGGCUGUGAACUCCUCUUCAACAGCUUAAAUGGUCCAAUUCUAAGCUAUAAACAUGAAUCAUAAUGUUUAGAGUAAGCUAGGGNNNNNNNNNNNNNNNNNNNNNNNNNNNNNNNNNNNNNNNNNNNNNNNNNNNNNNNNNNNNNNNNNNNNNNNNNNNNNNNNNNNNNNNNNNNNNNNNNNNNUUGGACCAUGUCUCCAUGAGAAUCCUCAUAUGGUCCUAAGCUCUCACAAGGGUAGAGCUUUUCAGCACUUAGAACAUAGUGUACUUCUAUGGCAAGACCCUUACUGGUGUGAUCGCCAUUCGAACUUCCUAACGUUCUCACCCGUACUGUGUGUGUAGUCCUUCAGGUUGGUUCUUAGAAUGCUCGUGUGGUCUUUGGUCUCGCGUUUCCUGUCAACUGGCUGAUAGAGGCUUUCUAGAUCGUCGAGUGGGUUGCGUGAAUAUGGUUAUCGGCUUGCUGUAGAGUGUCUAUCUCAAGCUUGUGCAAAAUGGACCUGCACCAACGAAUCUUGAGACACGGAAACCCUGAGGGUCGGGGAGAUAGGGUUUCACCAGACGAGUGUUGGACUAUCUCAGGAGGUGGUUCUACUAUCUUUGCGUGAGAUAGUAUUCGUGGAACACCUAAUAGUCCAAGGAUUUUCCAAGACUUUGGUUUACUCUAGUGCGGAAAGCGCAUGUUCCUGCAUAACCCUUCGACUAACACCAGGGCUGGUGUCAAGCCUAUGAUCUCUUCGGGAUCCGGGUCAUGAGGCUUAACGCAACUACUUUCGCACUUGANCUUGGCUGCGAAGGUUCUCCUGUGGGUUCUCGGUAUCCUAGUGUUCACUUCGGAGAGUGUAUUUCAUCGUCUACAGGACGACAACGAUUUCCUCCAUGCGAGAGGGUCGAGGAUGAUAGGCACUACUUGUCUAUAACAGGGUGGACAAGGUGCCUGAGUAGUGCGAGCAUCUACUGCAACUAAUCUUCCGAAGGUUCUGAGUUUCCUCGGUCUAGGUCAUCUCUAGUGAGUAUAGGGUCUCAUCACUCAGAACUUUACUGGCUCAACUCGCAGUGAUUCUCUUGACUUCGACUCCUAUGUUAUGGAAUAGGGUGAAAGUGUUUUGCGAAGAGGUCCGUGGUAGAGCUCAUGCUUGGCGUAACCGCCAAUAUUUGAUGUAUGCCAGCAGUAUACCUGGUUAUAGUGGUCAGCCUCAUGAGUUCUAUUCUCUGGGUUCACGAACCUGAUGUGCGAGGUGCGAAGGGUCUCCCAGGGGAAUCUACGGAGUAUGCUUCGGUUGGUGGUCAUCUUCUUAGAGUAUCUGUAGUGUCGUUCACUUCGGUGUCCAUCUGACUACGAGGGGUCGGUCAGCAGUGCGGGGUACCCUCUCUUGGGUACUUCGGAAGGUUUGAGAUAAGAGGGACGAUUGACGGAUCACAUUAUGUUUGAUUAUUUGAGUUAGGUUUAGGUUCGGAAGAACCUUUAUUCGUCGACAAGGCUACGGAGAAAGUUCUUUUUACACAGCACUAAGAAUGUACACAUGGUUGCACGAAGUCGAACCAUGAUCAAUAGAGUCGUCGAAGUUGGCACACUCCGACAUUAUAUAUAAUGAAGAUCGAUAGAGUCAUAUGCCAAACAGGCACACAAGUUCUAGGCGUCUCGGGUUUCGUCCUAUGUAUCACUACCGCGGAUACUUGGACCGAUAGAGUCGACGCGGAACUAUAGAGAGUCCUAAGUGUUUCCGAAUUGAGUACCUUUUCAUGAGUGGAUUCUCACAAGGUAUUUCUAUAAUUGCCUCACAUAUACUAGUCAUGUAUAUUUAAUGUGGGGAGGACUGUUGACUGAGCGACCCCGCCCUAAAUCCAUAACCAAACGAGGAACGGGAAAUGAGGCGGCAUUCGCUCACUCUAGGUCUGUCCAUCUUAACUAUACAUGGUCGUGACGUAUAUGUUUAGCCAUUAUAGUUUUACCUAAUGAAUUUUUAAAUUUUAAAAUAGUGCUGCGACUUUCGCCUUAUUGGGGAAAUAUUUACAUUUGAAUUAGCCUUUUAUUGUUUUCAGUUUAGUUAUCCGAGAUCUAGAGACGUACCAAAAUCUACCGAGUUCUUGAUGCUUCUCCCUAAGCAUUAGAGUCAGGCUCGUCCUGUAUCCUUGUUGUUUCCUUCAGUUGGGCAAUCCCUUUUGAAGUGUCCAAUCACACCACAUAGACGGAAAACUGGAUUGGUCAUCACUUUGGUGAUUGAUGCAAUACGCUCCACCGGAGUUCUGCAUACACGAGCAGUAUACCCCUUCAUGUUGCACCUAGCACAAUAGAGUUCCCGGCAGACACCAUGAUGAUGGCAGCUGCACUUGCUGCAGUGGGGAAGGUCUCCUAGGUAUGGUCUUCUUGAGGUCGGGAGGGAAGGAUUGACAGGGGUAUAGACUGCCUCAGCUCGUCGCCUUUCAGAAGGUCCUUGAGCCGAGGUACUUCCCUCCUCAAUCUUGAGUUUUCUCUUUAGUGGGUUCGGUGAAGAUUCUUGGGUGACUGGGUAUGAAAGUGUUGGUUGCUGCUGUCCAUUGCUAGGAUUGGAAAUCCCGACAGGGCCCUUGCUAAUAUUGGCGGUGUUAGCAUUCAGGUGAGCCAUGACAGCUGCUACGGCUGCUGAGACUGCAGCUUGGAACGUAGCUUCAUCGAAUAAGAGAGCAGGUUUCUUGCUUGUGGAUUGGUUACGCUUCUUCGGUGGCAUGGUUUUUCCUACACGGAAAGGAAUACAAGGUAAUGAGAGACGAUGGUUAACCCUGGACAUUUCUGUCCUCAACGUAUUAGGCAUAAAUUUUUCCCGUGCCUCGGGUACUGGUUGUCUGAGUGUCGACCUACAUCCCUAUGAUGUAGUCCUGGUAAUCAAGGUAAGAGUAUGAGUAUCGGAAAAAGGCCAUAAGAUGCCAGUCGUUCCUACUAAGUUACCUUUAUACUGGGAAAGGUUUCACUCUCCGGCCUGGAGAGAUUUGAGAACGGUUCGGAACGAAACUGCAGAAAGAGAGGCUCACAAGGGCAAAUGACUAAAUUCUAUCAAUAGAGAUGUGGGGAUCCGCCCUAAUCGUGUAUCUGGCAACGGGAAACGACGAUUUACCUAACACAUAGCGUGAGUAGUGUAACCACUAACUCACUAAAUUGUAUUAUUUUAUGGGUGUAUUAGCGUGACGAACACGAGGAAAAGACAAUUCCCGGGUUCCAUGUACUGGCUCCCUCGGUCUGCCUCGUAUCUUUGACUGGAAUCGGCGUUGGUUUCCUUCGGGUAGUUUCCUAGGGUUCUCUUCUUGUAUGGACAUAUUGAAUUUCUACUCCGCCUUCCUUCUGAUUCCAACUCUGGGUGUCAUCACUUCAUGAUGGAUGACUGGGAAUCUCCGAAGUUUAGGCGAAUUUCUCACCAAUGUCCCUAAAAGAAUAUGGGCACUUGGUGCAUUCAAUAGUCUCGACCCAGUUCAUUUAUUUCCGAACAGGAAAUCUUCUCAAUGAACCUCCUCGGGGUCGGAAUCAACUCUUCUGUCAAGCACUGAAGUGGGUAGGGUUUUCUACAGGGUUCGUGCGAGAAUGGAAAUGUCUAAAGAAUCCUAAGAGAUUAUUAACAUUUCACUGUAUGAUCCAUAUCGAGUCCUGCUACGAUUACACAGGGUAUACAAAUCAUAUAUAACUUAGAUCCGAUAGGCCUUCGAAUAUGUGAUACUACUCUAGAACCACAUCCCAACGAGGAAAAGGAAAUAGAGCGAAACCACACAUUCUUAGCCUAUGGGAUCCUUAUUAUAUAUAACCUUGGGAGUAUACCCUCUGUAGUUGUAGGUAUAUCAAUAAGGAUCUUUUUAGUUAUUCACGCAAGGUUGUUUAUGGAUUCUAAAAUACCCCUAUGGUAUUUUAAUUCUUGUUUGAUUCUUAUCUUCUGAAUAUGAUUCUGGGAUUAGUGUGGAUCUUUUAGUGUUCUAAAAUACUCCUAUAGUAUUUUAACUUUAUGUUUGGCUCUAGCAUUCCUAGUUGGUAAGUUUCAGACCUGUUGUACACCACUAUCACUCCCAAGCACACGUUCAUCGCAUCUCGGAUAAAUGUAGUUGAUCAGGUUACAUUUAUCCCAGCUUACGAUUACAUAACUGCCCAGGUUUGACUGUAGUGCUCAACAUCCGAAGACUUUUAUUAUUGUUCUUCUUGUGAUAGUUUUGUUCGAGUGUUUAGAUUCUGGAUGUUCUUAUACUUUGGUAAAAUAUGGUUAUAUUCUAAAGUAUAAUUCUUGGUCAGAGUGUUUUAUCCCUUUGUGUUUAUAGGUUGUAUAUCUUUUAUGAAUUGAUAUACUUAGCUCACUAUAAACAAUGCUCUGAUACCAAUCUGUCACACCCCAAAACCGGAACGGCGGAAACGUUCUGGGGUGGAUGACGUCAUGUCAAGUAUCACAACACAUGCAUUAUAGUAAUCAAAGUACAACAAAACAUUGCAUUAAUAUUAAUAGUUUUACAUGGUUACAUUACAAUACACCAAAGUAAUACAAGUAAUACAGACAGAUAUAUAUAAGUGCAGCGAGGCACUAAGCCAUCUUCAUAUACAGCUCCGAGAUGUACCUGUCUAAUGCUAACCUGAGAAUACAAGUUAUUUGAAAAGCGAGUAUCAGCAUUUUUACAAAUGCUGGUGAGUUCAUAAGUAUUUAGUGACAUUUAUUCAAAUAACUUUAUAAAGUAGUAGUUUAAGUGUUUACUGUGUAUUAGAGUUCUUUCCAGAAAAUCCUAUAUUUUCUUUAAUAACGCAGCCUUCUACCACGGUUGGUCAGUGUUAUGUGGUAAAAAGUAGUUUUCCCUAAGUUGCUAUCAUUAUCAAAAUACUGAAUUUAAUUAUUGAGGAAACCAAACGACACCAGGGAAUAUCAUAUGCCUCAGCAGUAAGGACUGUUGACUAAGGCAAGGAACCAUAGACUCUAGGAAAGUAUCAAACGAACAACACGCCUGGUUCAGUCUAACAAGUGGAGAAACAGACCCCAGAAGGUACCAAAUGAAAGGUACAACUAGUAAGAUCUAAAACAGUGAAUACAGACCGCAGACAAUAUCAAAUGAAAGAUACGUCUAGCGAGGUCUAAAACAGUGAACACAGUGGAUUCUAUGAAUACAGUGGAUACAGACCCCACACAGCAUCAAAUGAAAGAUACGUCUUGUAAGGUCAAAACAGAGGAGACAAACCCCAGACAGUAUCAAAUGAAAGAUACGUCUUGUAAGGUCAAAACAGUGUGACUCUGAAAAUGAGUUACCAACAUACAGUGUAAAUAGCUGGCGAAAUACCGUUGCCUUAAGGCCAAAGAAUUAUAAGGUAACCCGGGAUACUUGUAACCAUACUGACUAGAGUACCAGACACCCUACAAGCGUCUAAAAUAUGCGACAUUUGUCACCCGUUGGCUUAGUAGGCCGGGACUGUAGCUAGCAGUCUGGGUGCGGGGUUGUCAAUCCCGUAUAGAUCUAUACACACAAUGUCCUCUCUCCCUACAGGAGAUUCUGGUUACCAACUAGACGACGGAGAAGGCCGUGUCCUGAAGAUGCAUCCCAAAUAGUGGGUAGUGUGUAAGUGUUGAACUAGAGGUAGAGACUUCCCAAUAGUGGGUUUCUAAUGUAAGUGUAGACUAGAGGUAGAGACUCUUAACUGAACUGACUAGAGAAUUCCUAUAUGUCCAUACUCAUAUACAUAAUAUAUAACUAAUGAGUCAAACGACCUUCGGACGGCCAUCUGAUCCCACCAGACCACAUCUCAACGAAGAAAAGGAAAUAGGGCAGACGAGCCUUCAUAAGUCUUUCAAUCAUUACUUAUAUGUACCUAUAUAAGCACAGGCAUACAUCUAACUACGACUGAGUGUGUAUCAAGUAAAAGUGAUCUUUGUGAAGUAGGAGUGUCUAACAAGUGAAGUAGGAGUGAUCCCAAGUGAAGUAAGAGUGUCGAACAAGUAUAAGCGUAUCACGAAGUAGAGACGACAAUAAGUGAAGUAAGAGCGUAUCGAGUAUAAGUGAAGUAGAGUCGAUAUCAAGUAUAAGGGAACUAGAAUCGUAUCACUAAGUAAGAGUAUGAAUAGGUAUAAGCGUCCAUCAGGCAUAAGCGACUACAAGUACAAGUGAAAGCGUUACAGAGUAGGAGUAUAAAAUAAGUAUAAGCGAAGCAGCAGUAUUUAACAAGUAAAAGUAUACAUCCAAAAAAGGGAAACUUUGAUGAAAAACCUUUAUAUCCGGAGAAAAUCACAAUUUGUAUUCUUUUGUAAAAUAUGUUUGAAAACCUUAGAAGAUCUUUCAUAAACCAGUUUAGAAUGAAUUUAGAUAAAAC
rnacentral:lncRNA from 1 species